rnacentral:tRNA from 1 species
AGCCGGGUCGUCUAGCGGCCAAGGAUGCGGGGCUCUGGCCCAGUUGUAAAUGCUGGGGAGAACCCCCGUGACCGGGGUUCGAAUCCCCGCCCGGCUA